GUGGGGAAUAUUGCACAAUGGGCGCAAGCCUGAUGCAGCCAUGCCGCGUGUAUGAAGAAGGCCUUCGGGUUGUAAAGUACUUUCAGCGGGGAGGAAGGCGAUGUGGUUAAUAACCGCAUUGAUUGACGUUACCCGCAGAAGAAGCACCGGCUAACUCCGUGCCAGCAGCCGCGGUAAUACGGAGGGUGCAAGCGUUAAUCGGAAUUACUGGGCGUAAAGCGCACGCAGGCGGUCUGUUAAGUCAGAUGUGAAAUCCCCGGGCUUAACCUGGGAACUGCAUUUGAAACUGGCAGGCUUGAGUCUCGUAGAGGGGGGUAGAAUUCCAGGUGUAGCGGUGAAAUGCGUAGAGAUCUGGAGGAAUACCGGUGGCGAAGGCGGCCCCCUGGACGAAGACUGACGCUCAGGUGCGAAAGCGUGGGGAGCAAACAGG
rnacentral:rRNA from 1 species